UACGAAGGGGGCUAGCGUUGCUCGGAAUCACUGGGCGUAAAGGGCGCGUAGGCGGACUUUUAAGUCGGGGGUGAAAGCCCAGGGCUCAACCCUGGAAUUGCCUUCGAUACUGAGAGUCUUGAGUUCGGAAGAGGUUGGUGGAACUGCGAGUGUAGAGGUGAAAUUCGUAGAUAUUCGCAAGAACACCAGUGGCGAAGGCGGCCAACUGGUCCGAUACUGACGCUGAGGCGCGAAAGCGUGGGGGAGCAAACGGG
rnacentral:rRNA from 1 species